rnacentral:rRNA from 1 species
CCUACGGGGGGCAGCAGUGAGGAAUAUUGGUCAAUGGGCGCGAGCCUGAACCAGCCAAGUAGCGUGAAGGAUGACUGCCCUACGGGUUGUAAACUGCUUUUAUAAAAGAAUAAAGUGAGGCACGUGUGCAGUUUUGUAUGUACGUUAUGAAUAAGGAUCGGAUAACUCCGUGCCAGCAGCCGCGGUAAUACGGAGGAUCCGAGCGUUAUACGGCUUUAUUGGGUUUAAAGGGAGCGUAGAUGGCUUGUUAAGUCAGUUGUGAAAUUUUGCGGCUCAACCGUACAAUUGCAUUUGAUACUGGCAGUCUUGAGUACAGUUGAGGUAGGCGGAAUUCUUGGUGUAGCGGUGAAAUGCUUCGAUAUCACGCAGAACUCCGAUUGCGACGGCAGCUUACUAAACUGCCCCUGACAUUGAUGCUCG